AUUGCAAGUUUGAGGCCACAGCAGAAAUGUUCAUGGCACAGCCCUGUCAGAUUCCAACAAAUCUGAAUUCUGCU
rnacentral:lncRNA from 1 species